rnacentral:rRNA from 1 species
UACGUAGGGUGCGAGCGUUAAUCGGAAUUACUGGGCGUAAAGCGUGCGCAGGCGGUUUCGUAAGACAGAGGUGAAAUCCCCGGGCUCAACCUGGGAACGGCCUUUGUGACUGCGAGGCUAGAGUGUGACAGAGGGGGGUAGAAUUCCACGUGUAGCAGUGAAAUGCGUAGAGAUGUGGAGGAAUACCGAUGGCGAAGGCAGCCCCCUGGGUUACUACUGACGCUCAUGCACGAAAGCGUGGGGAGCAAAC